rnacentral:lncRNA from 1 species
UGAUCUUUCCGAGCUCAGGAGAGCGGUAUCUGUCAUCUGAGAUGUUUGAUGCUGAGAGGCAGGCAGCUGAAAACAUGGCUUAUGUCUCAAAUAUUGCCUAAUGUUUGAGUUUCAGACCUCAAGUGGAACCAAUAUGCUCUCAAAAUAAAGUUAUGCUCCUGAGUUGUAAUAGUAGUUGCAGUGAAAAAGAGGAUGUGUUUGCUUCUGCUUUUGUAAUUCUAAUGCACAAUUGACAAUUUGGUUGGUUCCAUUUAAUGUGAUGCAUUUCUUGAACUAUUUUAAUCAAAUCAGUAAAUUUGACCGAUAGCUACAGCUUGCUAAUUUUCAGUACCAUCAAACAUAUUUUAAAAUAAUUAAAGACACUUUUAUACUGGUUUUGUAGUGUUUACAAGACAAGAAAAAUAAAAAAGAUUUUACCAGGUCCAAAAAACCACCUGCAGUUAUUGUAGAAAAGCACUUUUUUUAGUAUAAAAAUACUUGGAAGUGCUUUCCAAAAAAGGAUCACAUGUUUCACAAAAAAAUGCUUCUGCAGAAGUGUUUUUGUUUAACUUGAAAAAGCCUAUUGAUACAAGCAUUCGCAGACAUACCACGGCUGGGAUUUAAAAUGGGCCUGGGUCGGAUUGGCAACUCCAAGGACGGGCUCAACUUUGGCGGACGGGGCCGAGCCUGAGCCCACAAAACUGCUUCCUCUCCAUCACACGUGGCACGGCAAGUGACAAAUUUCUCUCACAACAGAUCUCCCUCUCGCCCGCACAGGGCUCAACAUUCCAUUUCCAUUUCCGUUUCUUACCCAAACACGCACGGAUCUAAGAGAGCUUCGGAAUAUGGCUUUAAUGGCCGUAUUAGAAUCCGAUCUUCGAGCUCUCUCAGCUGAAGCUCGCCGUCGCUAUCCCGCCGUCAAGGACGGAGCUGAGCACGCGAUCUUGAAGGUCGCAAUUCUCACUUGUUUUGUGAUGUAGCCCAGUUUACCACGCCCACAAAUCACAAUCUUGACUGACUGUGCCCAUUGUAGGUAGUUUCUACCAUUUAAUUUGUGGGCUGUAAUAUGAAGAGAUGCAUCGCUUCCGGAAAGAGAAGCAAUUGGGAUGGAACUAGGCUCAGCCAUAGAUUGGCUAGAUGUUGAAGAUCCGGUAUUGUCACCAGAUGAGAUGUCGAGAGAGCGUUAUCUAUCCACAGCAUUGUUUGAAUCCAUUAGAAAUGAAGUGCAAAAUAUGUCCAUUGAUUAAGACGUCACAAAGUUUAGGAAGCAGCUGCCUGAAUUUAGGACAAACAUCCCUGUAUUUUCCACACGAGCCAGCCUAUGUUCGCCUAUCCAUUAUCCGACCGUAUUUUAGUUCUUCUGAAGUUGUGACGGUUAGAUUCUAGAGAAUGGAACUAAGCCUUCAACAGAAGAAGAUUCAAUGUAUUCUGUAUGUACAAUUGCAAUUUAGAUAAUCAAUCUGUUAAUGAAGCAAUGUAUUGUAAAAUAAUCUCAAAUUUGCUUGCUUUUGUUUUCAAGUUUUGGAUAAGUUUGACAGAUAGUUGUUGUUGUUGUUGUUUGCAACUAACCUAAUUCUGCAAUGAAAAUUAAACCUUAAAUAUACCAAAAUUUGAAAACCAAAUGAAACAUUUAUGAUCACUAAUGACAGUUCUAAGUAAAAUGAGUUGUUCAAGCACUUUUUUUUUUUUUUUUGGAUCUUAACCACGAGGUAUCUUGGGGAGAGCCUCAACUGUAGGAGGCACAUUUAAGCAUGUACCACAACCCAGAUUAGAAGUCUCCGCUCGAAUCGGAAGGCAUAUGUUCUCCCAACAAAGGCGACUUCCCUACGACUCGAAUUGGAAAGCAAGCUCAGUCAAGCCACUUAAGGGGAUUUCAUUACAAGUGGAGCCAACAGGUUCAAGCACUUUAAUUAAUACAUAAUUAUACAGGGAGUUUAUUAUGCAUUAACAGCCAGUUUUAGUUCCCUAACUAUAAGUUAGCAUUUAAUGCAUUGUAGUUUCACUCUCUCUUUCUUCAGCGACGCGACAGAAUUUAUGCGGAUAAUAGAAUCGGAGAACCGAUUACCGGGCAGGUCAUAUCAUGCCAUCGCUCUGCAAAACGAAGUUAAUGUAUAUAAAAUGAUCGAAAGCUUUUGUACUGUUUCUGCAUGAAAUUGUUAAGAGUAUAAUAAAUACUAUUGUUGAGCCGUUACCUAUAAGCUUAAGCUUUUGGUUGAGGUAGAGACUUUUGUCAUCACUAGAAACAAUUGUCUUUUGCCAACUUUAUCUGACUAAUUUCUGAGAAAGCAUUUUACCAACUUCAGUUCUAACUGUCUAAAUAAGCAACAUUUUCUUCCUCUCUUAGCAACUCCUGCAGAAUAGACAAAAAAGCCAUUUUAUCUUCCUUUUUAGUAAUUCCUGCAGUAUAGACAAAAAGCCAGUGUGUUAAUUAAAAGCCAGUGUAAUUCCUGCCACCUAUUCUUUAGCUUGUCAGCUAUAAAUAGCUGUGAUUGCUGCAUAAAUUUGACCGUUCAGUGUUCUUGAGUUGUUGAAGCCAUUGUAUUCGGGUACUUGAAGCUUUUCUUUGUGUUUGAUUUAAUUUUUGUUCUACUGAUGUAUAUUAUUUCAAGUUACUAGUUUAUAAUUUUCUUCCCAGGCUUACUCAUAUGAUUCAUGUAAUUUCUUGGUACCUUAUACCCUUCUUGAAUCCAAGUUUGGAAUUCUUUGAUCGGUUUCUUCAAAUACUGAAUUCACUUCCCCACUUUAUGCUUAUUAAUCUUUUGACUUCUAACACUCUUUAACUCUUUUUUCAGCUGAGGGAAAUAUGGGAUCAGAGAAGUGUGCCAUUGCAAACGAUAUAACCGAAGUAAAAUGCCUUCAUCUAAUUCUGAUUUUUCAUUUUUUCCUUUCAUAUGCUCUGAGAUUUUCUCAUUUUGUUGCAUAUUUUAUUAUCAGUUGAUUGGCAAUACCCCAAUGGUUUACCUCAACAAUAUUGUGGAUGGUUGCAAGGCACGUAUUGCUGCUAAGCUAGAGAUGAUGGAACCCUGUUCUAGUGUCAAAGACAGGUAAUACUUGAAACCUAUCCUUAAUCUUCUGUUGAUCUUUCUUUUUGGCACAUCUUAGUAGUAAUUGAUAUUGAAUAUUAUCUUUGUACUAAUUUUCAUUUUUGUUAUUUCUCCAAAUUUUUUGGGUUCACUUCAUACAAGUUGGCUUCAAUCACUGAUAUGCAGGAUUGCAUUUAGUAUGAUCAAAGAUGCUGAAGAGAAGGGCCUUAUCACACCAGGGAAGGUUGUUAACUUUCCUUUUUUCUUCUAUCAAGAAAAUAUCAACAUAAGUCUCUUUAAGAGUUAUUGUGAUUUGUAAGCAUACUGGAAUGAAAAUGAACUGGGAAGUAGUUUUGGGAUUAAUCAAUUUUCCACGUGAAUGAAUAAAGACUGUCCUCAUUGAAUGUACAAGUGGAAAUACCGGCAUAGGGAUGGCAUGCUUUGCAGCAGCUAAGGGUUACAAGCUCAUUCUUGUCAUGCCUGCUUUCAUGAGCCUUGAGAAGAGAAUAAUUCUCCAAGCAUAUGGAGCUCAGUUGAUUCUCACAAAUGCAGAGAUGGGUAUUGAUGAGGAAUUUCGUAUUGUUGAAGAGUUACUGAAUAAGAUACCUACCAGUUUUAAUCCCCACCAAUUCAAAAAUCCUGCCAAUCCAAAGGUAUGUAUGCUUUGCUUGGCCAUAAGGCUACUGAUAAAAUAUACUAAUCAGCGGUUUAUGCAGACUCAUUAUGAAACUACUGGCCCGGAAAUCUGGGAAGGCACAAGAGGGCAAGUUGAUAUUUUUGUUUCUGGAAUAGGGACUGGGGGUACAGUAUCUGGUGUUGGCAAUUUCCUUAAAAAGAAAAAUCCGGAGAUCAAGGUAGUAUUAUUUAUGCUUGAGUUUUGAAAUAGUUGAAUUACCUUUUCUUGUGUAAGCAACUGUUCCUGAUUUUUAGUUCUUUCUUUUUGUUUUGAUUUUUGUUCUGCCUUAAGGUUUAUGGCGUUGAACCGGCUGAAAGUGCAAUUCUGAAUGGUGGAAAGGCUGGUGAGUUCUGAAAACUCAUUUCAUUCAAUUUUUUGGAAAUGUUAUAUUGCACUAUUGCAGCAUCAAUAAUAUGCUAAGGUCUUGGUCUUCCUGUAUGCAUGGCAGCAUCAAUGUGCCGCAGCAACUUCAGUUCAAAACUGAUUUUAACAUACUGUAAUGUGGUUAUAGGUCAUCAUAAGAUUCAAGGAAUCGGCAUUGGGUUUGUCCCCAGUGUUUUAGAUGUCAGCAUUCUUGAUGAAGUUGUUCGAGUAAGCUUCCGAACCCUUGUAAAUUGACUUGCUCGUUAAGAAAAGUACAUUUGGAAGAAUAAGUGUUUGUUCACAUAUAGUAAUUCUGAUUCUGAUAAAAAAUUUCCCAUUUCUGACAUAAUAACAGCAUUGUGCCCGCCCAUUUUCUUCUAUGUAUUUUUUCAUGCUUUUUUCUACUUAGCCUUUCAGACUGAUAAUCUUUCAUAUCUUUAAGGUAACAAGCAAUGAAGCCAUUCAAACAGCUAAGCUUCUUGGUGCAAAAGAAGGUUUGCUGGUAUGUGCAAUCUUCCAGGCAUUUCUAGUACUUUCUCCCUCUGUAAAAUCACCAUUAGGAAAAAAUUGAGGAAAUAAAUUACUUUCCGAGUACGUAAGCUUAAAUAUAUGUUCUGCUGUGACAUAGGCUUAUGAUGGCAUCUAAUUGUUGAUGAUGUUUGUGUUUAUAAAUAUUGCAGGUAGGGAUAUCAUCUGGUGCUGCAGCAGCUGCUGCAAUUAAGAUAGCCAAAAGGGCUGAAAAUGCUGGAAAACUCAUUGUCGUAAGCUCAUUCAAAUUCUUUGAGCUGGUUGCAUUCAUUUUCAUUUCAUAUUGCCUACUUAACAUGUUUGACAUGUUCAUUUGGACAGCCACUGAAUUUGACGCAUAGAAAGCAUAAAUUUAGCUGUUAUAUAAUCCUUAUAUCAACUAACAUUUUCUUAAUCAACUUUGCAACAUGAUUUAACAAGCCCUUAUCAUGCCACUCCAAACUUCAGCAUUGUUGAGAUAAACAUCAUUGACUCAGUUCAACAACUGCUUCUCUCAAUCAUUGCAGGUGAUCUUUCCGAGCUCAGGAGAGCGGUAUCUGUCAUCUGAGAUGUUUGAUGCUGAGAGGCAGGCAGCUGAAAACAUGGCUUAUGUCUCAAAUAUUGCCUAAUGUUUGAGUUUCAGACCUCAAGUGGAACCAAUAUGCUCUCAAAAUAAAGUUAUGCUCCUGAGUUGUAAUAGUAGUUGCAGUGAAAAAGAGGAUGUGUUUGCUUCUGCUUUUGUAAUUCUAAUGCACAAUUGACAAUUUGGUUGGUUCCAUUUAAUGUGAUGCAUU